rnacentral:lncRNA from 1 species
GCAUCUUAUAAGCUUAAACUAUCUGUGUGGAACCAAAACAGAGCUCAAGAGUGCCAAAAGAUAUCUUCUUUGCAAGACGCUGCAGACAAAUGGCUUAAGUGUCUGCAAGUUAAUCAUCCGGACUACAAAUUCUUUACCUCUAACAUCACACAAACGAGGUGAAAAAAGUGAAAAGCUGCUUUGGCUCUGGUCUGAUUCAAAGACAACUCAUUUAUCUACUCUACUCUACUUCACGUUAUAAAAAUUCUCUGCUUACACCAAAGUAAAACCAAGUACGUACCGGGUAAAAGACUCUUGCGUGUUUUUCAGGCGAUUUAAGAGUCUCGCUGUUUCAUUACCAGAAGAUGCUUUGUGAAUUGUAGCCUAAGCUUUCAUUUGUUCUUCUUCUGCUGAAACUAGUCUUUUGCUUUUUCCAUAUAUAGUGAUGAAAUUUGUUGAGGAGUGAUAUAAUGUUUAGAUGCAAAUCUUUUUUUUGUGAUACAAUUUGAUUGCUGAACUGGAACACAGCUUGGCUUAUAUAUCAAUUUGUUGGAGGCUUCUAGCUUUGAUCAGUCCGAUGAGAGGAAAAAGUACUUUGAUAUCCUGAAUAUUCAAAUUAAGAUCCCUCAAGUACAUCCGAUUACUGCAUAUACUCAUAAAUUACAAUCUAUUUUCAAAUGGGAUGUUCACUGUAUAGUCUGGCUACCGUUGGGCUAUUACCAAAUGGAGACAUAACUGAAAGACUGCCUUCACUAAGUUCUAACCCGGAAACUGAAAGUAAUCCCUAUGUUCAAACACUCCUUGCUACAAAAGAUAAUCUUCUAAGGAGAGGAACACUCAUGUCAAUCUACUGUCUUCCACAUGUUGUCGAAAAGCUGAAAGUUCUAACUAUUUCUUCUUUACCUGUCCUCAUGCAGUCAUAUGAUAAGGCGGCAUGGAGACGAGCUAAUACUCCAUCUCACGAAGUUUUAAAUCCUGAAUUUUUAUUUAUUGGAAAUCUGAAGAAGAUGAUCAAGUUGUAUCCCUUUAGGAUAACACAGGGCAUAACUCUGUUAAUGUGUAUGAAUAAUCCAAAUUGUAUCCCUUUGGGAUUAUAUGGAUAUUAUGGAAAUCUUGUAAAAAAUUUGUUGUUGAUUUGAUUACAUAAAACUAGUAUUGGUUUUGAUGUAUUUUUUUGUAUAUUUGUUGAUACAAUAAAUGGUUACAUAGAACACAACACCCAAAUAUAUCCCAAAGUAAGGUUUUAUGUACAAUUAUUGAUAUAUACACUAAAUCAUAUGAACACUAUAGUCAACAUAUAACCGUUUAUAAGUUCAUAUAAAACCUUACAGUAAAUGGAUAUAUUUGGGUUUUGAUAUAAUAUAUUAGCCGUAAAAUCAUAUAACCAUUUAACUGAGCCAUUAGUAUAGUUUUGAUGUAAUUUUUAUUUUUGUUCAUAUAUACAUUUUUUUUUUUUUUGCAAGAAGAGAAGAACAAAAUGUCGUUCUCUCCCUCUCGAUCUCCCCGGUGUGUUACGAAGAUCUGUCGGUGAUAAUACGUUACGAUUAUUCUUAAACCUGCUAGUACACACACUAACAUGUAUUGACUGCAAAUUAGUGGGAAUUAAUGCUAAUUUAAAUUGAGUUCAUUAAAAAUUACUCAAUUCUAUUAUUUUUUUAUUAUUAUUCUACCCCCCAAUAAUGUUUAUUCGCAUAAAAAAGGCUGUCAUUUUGGCGUUAAAUCUUUUCCUACCUUAUUUUGCUUAUUUAUUCUUGGUAGAAAAUUAUUUUAUUCUAUUAAAAAAAUAUAAUAACUCGUCUUUUGUCCACUAUCAUUUAUACUCUUCUUCCAAUCAAAACAAAAAGAAAAACUUCUCUUCUCUGUGGUCAAUAACUCUUCUCCUUCUCUCUUCUUCUUCUUUCUUCUGCUUUUUUCUCAAUACCAGGUUGCACUUGGCGCGAAAAGUUCUUCUCUUUUCGGACAGCUUUUCUUUCAGUUCCGUUUUCAGACACCUUUCUGUUUCGUUACAAAUAAAAGAUGCCAGUAAGUACGUGUUCUUAUUAUGUUUUUAGUUUCUUAAGUCUCUUGUCCUUCUUCCCCUGUCUUGUCCGAGAUUGAAUUAUAGUUGAAGCUUAUAAGUCAAACCCAUCAAUCGUUUUGCUUUCUCGGUUUCUGGGUCUCCGUCAUUUCCAUGGAUCCGUUAGAAAAAUUAAUACUUUCUUGGAUCUGAACUUUGGAAUCAGACUGUCCUGAUAUGAUCUUUUUUUGUAUGUUUUUUGGUAGGUGGCAUUAGUUUUGCUGCUGGCAUUGAGCUGUCUGAUUCAGAGCCACGGCGCCGGAAACGUAUGCGAUCUUGGUCGGAGACCAAACACGAGACCUCACAGUGUCUCGAUUCUGGAGUUUGGUGCUGUUGGAGAUGGGAAAACGUUGAACACAAUUGCGUUUCAGAACGCUGUCUUCUAUCUUAAGUCUUUCGCUGACAAAGGUGGUGCUCAGCUUUAUGUUCCUCCCGGACGGUGGCUUACCGGAAGUUUCAAUCUCACCAGUCAUCUCACUCUCUUUCUUGAGAAAGACGCUGUCAUUCUCGCCUCCCAGGUUUGCCUCCUUCUCCUCCUCUCUUACUCUAAAGCUUUGAUCAUUCUAAAGAGUAAGACCAGAGUUUGUUUGGCUUCAUUGUUUCAUAGAGGUUCUUGAUUAGAUGCAAAGAUUAAUGUCUUUUUCUGAUGGUUUGAAUCAAAGUCUGUUUCUAUUGGUCAAUGCGCUUAAAAAAUCAGUCUAGACGCCCGCCUAAUUAAUUAAUAAGAACAUUUAUGAAUUUUUGUUUCUCAUUUUGUCUCUCUGUAUAAAGGAUCCAUUGCACUGGCAAGUUGUGGAUCCGUUACCAUCAUAUGGACGAGGCAUUGAUCUACCUGGGAGGAGAUACAUGAGUUUAAUAAACGGCUAUAUGCUGCAUGAUGUAGUAGUGACAGGUUACACAUGAUUUGAACCUUUCACUUCAUUUUGUCUGUUUGUUAAUGCUAAAUAAAAAAACUCACCGUUACAUUUCCAUGUUCCUCGGUUUUUUUUAGGUGAUAACGGUACUAUAGAUGGACAAGGCCUGCUUUGGUGGGAUCGGUUUAAUUCUCACUCUUUGAAGCACAGUAGACCGCAUCUCGUCGAGUUUGUCUCUUCUGAAGAUGUCACUGUCUCAAAUCUUACCUUCUUGAAUGCUCCUGCUUAUACUAUUCACUCGGUUUAUUGUAGGUAAAAAUAGUUUCUGAAACUCCCGUUCUUAUCAAUAUAGCUCCUUUUGGUUUAGUAGAAUCUUGACUCUGGUCACUCAUAUUGUGCAGCCAUGUGUACAUAAACAAAGUAACAGCUACUACUUCUCCAGAAUCUCCUUACACCAUCGGCAUUGUCCCAGGUUAGUUGUUUUGUGUUUCUUGUUGAUUCUGGAAGUGACUUAAAUCUUGGUGCACUGGUAAAAGGCCACAUACCAAUAAAAUACCACAUUCGUUUAAUACAUUUUAGGAUUAGGAAAAAUAUUUUUUAUUGAGAUAAUGUUUCUAAAGGGAAAAAGAAUAUUGGGUUUUAAGUCUAAUAUAAAAUGGAUCUAAGAGAUUGUAAGUUAUUCAAUAUACAAACUCUAAACGGAUAUUUGACUCAAUUAUAUUUAUGCUUUCUUAAGUUUCUUUGCUUUUUUUUUGUUCACAAGAUUUUAGCCUAGUGAAAAUGAUAUGGCUUCACUUGUUUGAGUUUGCAUUUCCAAAUCAAACCUUCUUUUUUUCUUCUUUCAGAUUCUUCUGAUAAUGUGUGCAUCCAAGAUUCUAGCAUCAGCAUGGGCUAUGAUGCCAUUUCUUUAAAAAGUGGUUGGGACGAAUACGGUAUAUCCUAUGCAAGACCUACUGCAAAUGUCCAGAUACAAAACGUUUACCUCAAGGCAGCUUCUGGUGCAUCCAUUUCCUUUGGAAGUGAAAUGUCUGGUGGCAUAUCUGACGUCGUGGUCCGAGAUGCUCACAUACACAACUCGUUAUCGGGGGUUGCCUUUAGAACAACUAAAGGAAGAGGCGGCUACAUGAAAGAGAUUGAUGUUUCGAACAUCAACAUGGUCAAUGUUGGUGUUGCGUUUCUAGCAAAUGGUAGCUUUGGAACUCACCCGGAUUCGGGUUUUGAUGCAAAUGCUUACCCGCUAGUGAGUCACAUCAUGUUACAUGACAUUGUUGGAGAGAACAUAAGCAUAGCUGGAGAGUUCUUUGGAACUAAAGAGUCUCCUUUCACUUCGGUUUUGCUAUCUAAUAUCUCUCUGUCGAUGAACUCGGAUUCUCCUGAUGAUGAUGAUUCUUGGCAAUGCUCGUAUGUGGAGGGUUCUUCAGAAUCUGUUGUCCCUGAACCGUGCUUUGAGCUGAAGGGUUUUGAAAGUUCAUACGGCAGAGCUGUGGCCUUGUGAGAAACAAAAAUUAAUGUCUCCAUGAUUCAUAUUUGUUUUGUUGAAGUUAGCAGAAAGGUCAGAUUCUUUUUUCCUUAAAUAAACCCCAAUGUCAGAUGUUAUUAUUUGCAGUUUGUGAGAUUCUUAUAUCUUGUACAGGUUCAUUUGUUCAUUCAUAUGUAACCGAAAAAAGUUUUGUUCAGUGGAUAUUCUUCAUGUUGCUUAACGAAAGAUGGUUAAGUCAUCAGUUUCUUUUCUGUUUUCAGACUUUUGUUUGGGAUGUAUUCAAUUUAAUAUUUAGAGUUUGAAUUAAUUUAUUUUUAAUGAGUUUUUGCGAGAUUUUAGAUGAACUACAAAAUAUUAAGAUUUUAUUUAAAACACUCCAAAUCUCCUAUAAAACCAUAUAAUUUGAAUAAUUAUAUUUUAACUAAAAUUUGUUACUUACAUAUUUUUAAUAACAAUAAAAUUUAUAAUAUAUUACAAAAUAUAAAUUCAAUAAUCACCCAUUACUCACAUAUUUUCAAUAACAAUAAAAUUUAUAAUGUAUUGCAAAAUAUAAAUUCAAUAAUAAUUGAUUUUAAAUUUUUUUUUUUCAAAUUAUGUUUAAACAAUAGUGUAAUUGACAGACAAAUCACUCCAAAGUCUAAACUGAAUAUAUCCCCUUUGUGCUUCUCCUAACUGUGAAGAGGCUUUAUGGCCCAAUAAAUAUGUCAGCCUGUUGAUAAAGCUCGGCCCAGUAACGAAAAGCUGCUUCGUGACCCAGUAGUGAAGGAGCGGCUUGCGUCAAGAGACGCUACCGAACGCAACCCUUCACUUCCCCCACCCACCCACACCAUCUUCCUCUUUUCCCCCACAUCUGUAACAUUUAUUUAUUUUCUACUGUCUCAACUAAAUUUUUCUAUUUAAGUAAAAAUAAUACUAAUCGAGUGUCUGCCACUAGAAAUUGAAAUAAAAUUCCCCCAUGAUUUUAUUUUUCUUCUCCAUUUUUUUCGUACACGAUAAAUAAUAUAAAUCGAAAUUCCCAAUCCUUCAUCUUCCCAAUCUCUCUAAAACCCUAGACUCACUUUCAACUCAAGCAGACAGGACUUUAAAACCACAUCCACUCUUGUUUUUAUUACCGGAGAAGAAAUAAUUUCAACUUUUAUUUUUGGUUGUGUGUUUUUGUUUUUCUCUUUGGAGCGAUCGAUUCUGUAACAAUCACAAUGUCGAGUUCAAUCGCAAGAACAGCGAUUCGUGGUGAGAAUCGGUUCUACAACCCGCCGGCCAUGAGGAGGAUGCAGCAAGAGGCGCAAUUGCAACAGCAGUUAAGGGAGAAGCAAGGAGAAGUGGAUAACGAGCCUAAGGCAAAGCUGCCGCAGCCUCUUCGUACCCGGAAAAGUCAUGGGAAGAGCAAGAAUCGGGUUGUUUCCUCCGGGUCUGAAGUAUCCGUAGCCUCAUCUGAAUCUUCCGGGUCGGGUCGGCUUCACAGAGAAGCCUCUAACUUGGAUCGGUUCUUGGAACACACCACUCCCUUUGUCCCUGCCAUGGUAAGACGAUUUCAAUAUCUUAAAAGUUAGAAAUGUCAUUUAGUACUCAUCGAACCAGAGAGUUUAUGUGUUUUGUCUUAACGAAGGUCAUUAGAGAUUUAAAUUCUGGAAGUAAAAGUUAGAAAUGUCGUUUAUCUCUGAUUUGAACCAGAUAGAUUAUCCUGUUUUGUCUUAAUAUUAGUGGAAACUUAGUAUGUAUAGCUAUUUCAUUUUGCUUUUAAACCUUUUUUAUAUUGUUGAUUUGAAUUGGGAUGACUCAAGAGUUUUUUCAGUGUAGACCCAUCUUUUGAUCAUUGCUAACUGCUGCACUUAUGUUUUCCAGAGGAGCAAAAGGGAACUUAAAACCGGUGAAUCGGAGAGCAGUUCAUAUUUUGUACUUGAGGAUCUGUGGGAGUCGUUUGCGGAGUGGAGUGCGUACGGUGCUGGUGUUCCUCUCCAUAUGGAUGGGAGUGACUCCACUGUGCAGUACUAUGUGCCUUAUUUAUCCGGCAUUCAGUUGUAUGUAGUAGACCCAUCUAACAAGGCCAGGUUAAUUUUUCAACAACUCUUUCUGUUUUUUUUUUUUUUUCAUUUCACAGUUUUGAUUAUUUGACUUUUGUUACAGAAAUAAAGUUGAAGAUAAUGAAGGAAGCAGCCACAGUAAUAGUGGUAAGACUCUGCAGAGUGAGGUGGACUUGAGUGUCAGCGAACUGAAUAGAGUCAGUCUUGGAGAUCAAUCUGGAGAGACUGAGAUCACCAAUCCUCAAGGACGGUUACUAUUUGAGUAUUUGGAGUAUGAACCUCCCUUUGGCCGUGAACCUCUCGCUAACAAAGUAAAAUUCCCUCCUAAACAAAAGUCAUCUACUUCCUUUAUUUUGAUUUUUUUUCAUAUUUUCACAUUUUAAGUAAGUUUAUCAUAACACCAGGUAUCAGAUCUAGCUUCAAGAUUCCCUGAGCUAAUGACAUACAAGAGCUGUGACCUUUCUCCAUCAAGUUGGGUCUCUGUGUCAUGGUAUGUUUCCUUUGAACCCCUCUCUUGAUUUCUUGAGAUCUUUGUUAUAUGAUGAUCUUUUACUUCAUUGGUGUGUAGGUAUCCAAUAUACAGAAUACCAGUUGGUGCAACACUACAGAACCUUGAUGCAUGCUUUCUAACUUUCCACUCUCUCUCAACACCCCCACCUCCUCUAAGUAAGUAACCUUAUGCCUCUAAUGUUAACAUUACAUCGCCUAUUUGUCUUACAAGGUCUUGUGUAUGUAUAGAAGCAGGUUCCGUGGAACCAUCCGUUAAGCUACCGUUGCCUACUUUUGGACUCGCAUCUUAUAAGCUUAAACUAUCUGUGUGGAACCAAAACAGAGCUCAAGAGUGCCAAAAGAUAUCUUCUUUGCAAGACGCUGCAGACAAAUGGCUUAAGUGUCUGCAAGUUAAUCAUCCGGACUACAAAUUCUUUACCUCUAACAUCACACAAACGAGGUGAAAAAAGUGAAAAGCUGCUUUGGCUCUGGUCUGAUUCAAAGACAACUCAUUUAUCUACUCUACUCUACUUCACGUUAUAAAAAUUCUCUGCUUACACCAAAGUAAAACCAAGUACGUACCGGG